rnacentral:rRNA from 1 species
GACGAACGCUGGCGGCGUGCUUAACACAUGCAAGUCGAACGGAAAGGCCCUGCUUGCAGGGUACUCGAGUGGCGAACGGGUGAGUAACACGUGGGUGAUCUGCCCUGCACUUCGGGAUAAGCCUGGGAAACUGGGUCUAAUACCGGAUAGGAGCCAUUUUUAGUGUGAUGGUUGGAAAGUUUUUUCGGUGUAGGAUGAGCUCGCGGCCUAUCAGCUUGUUGGUGGGGUAAUGGCCUACCAAGGCGGCGACGGGUAGCCGGCCUGAGAGGGUGGACGGCCACAUUGGGACUGAGAUACGGCCCAGACUCCUACGGGAGGCAGCAGUGGGGAAUAUUGCACAAUGGGCGCAAGCCGGAUGCAGCGACGCCGCGGGGGGGAGGACGGCCUUCGGGUUGUAAACGCCUUUCGCUAGGGACGAAGCUUUUUGUGACGGUACCUAGAUAAGAAGCACCGGCUAACUACGUG